rnacentral:lncRNA from 1 species
AGAGAUAAAACACAAUCAAAACCAUAAAUAUGUGAUGAUAUAUAAACCUGUACUGUUAUAAAAUAAAAGUUAAAACAUUUUAUGGGGUUUAAUGUUUAUAAAGAGUAAGAUUACAAACCAAUGAGAGCUAAGUAUGACAAGGAGAGUGAAAUAUACAAAAUUGUUACAACACUUCCCAAGAUAACUUACUCAAUAGAACAAAAGAAGCUCUUGCCUUCUUUAAGAAUAAAGAAAUGACAAGAAUUGUAUCUUGUUUCCAGUCAUGGGGAACAAAAACCACAUGACUUUCUGUGUCACUGCACCCCACAUACUGUCAUCUAUUGUGGCCAUCACAUAGGCAUUUAUAGACAUAUAUUUUGUUUAUGACUUUCCUCUAUUUUUAGUUUACCUUCAUUAUAAGAAGGAAUAACAGUAUUCAUUUUCAUUGCUGUCUAAUUUGUCAGUGGGUAAAUAUAAAACAUUUAUGUAUUUACUUAUGUAUGUAUUUUUUUUUAUCAAAGGCAUUUUAGUAUCUGCAUGUGCCCUUUAUGUAUAACCAAUCAGAAACACAAGUGACUUGGGACUUAUUAUUUCCAUCAUAAAUGAGGACAGGAUUGUGGGACUGAGACUUUUAAUCUUUUGGUUCUUAUAGUACAGUUGUUGGACAUAAAAUGUUUUUGUUUUGGUGUUGGGAAACACUUUAGAAAGUUUUCUGAUUGGGUGUUAAGUGCAUAAUUAAAAAUACUAAGUGCCUGUCCUGAAGAUUUGGUAAUAGUUUGUGUUAGAAUCUAGUGAAAGGGACAGGUGUCAGUGUGCUGUCUCCAAGUGAGCAGCUCCAAAGGUUGCCUGCAACUCAGUCCUCUGAGAAAUGACUGAUAAAUAACGCUGAAAAACUGUUCACUUAUCUUGUGGAAAAACAUUUACAGAGAUCAAACUGGCAAGCCCUCUGUAUUAUGUAUCCUUUACCUUGUUGUAAAUUAAAGGGGAUACCAAGUCCAGUUUGGCUAUGGCAGAGAUGGUGUGAUAUGGUUCCCAUCUAUGGAAUAGAACCAGCAGGACAUGGGCCCUCAUGACUGCUGAUGGUUACUGUGGGCAUAAAGCUUAUUUGUGUGUAUGUGUGUGCGUGUGUGUGUGUGUGUAAUUUUUUUCAACUUCAAAUUUUGUGUCUAUGUUUCAGCAAAAUGGUAAAUGCUGAGACUGUCAACACAGCCCUUAAGUCUGUGGGAAAAACUUCUGAAAACCUGAGUUCAAAAAUACAUAUUUUCUCAAUUAUGCAAAAUAUAAAGAUGAAAUUUGCAAUAUGAAUAGCAUAAAGAGCUUCAUGGAUCUAUAAGAAACAGAGGCAGCUGCACUAUGAACCAGUUUGUCAGAAAGAUAGUAAGGAAGGAGAUAAAGAGAUUUAGGGAAUGGAGCUCACAGGGCAACAUUCCACUCACCUAAAUUUCUUGUUUGUGCUUACAGAGGCAAAUAGAUUCCUGAGUUCAAGGUCAGCUACAGAUUGAGGGAGUUUUGGUCCUGGCCCAGGUGUGAUAGGAAUGGUAAUUUAAGGGCUGGGUCCCACCAACUAGCUUAUUAUCUGUGCUUAACAAAGGCAGACAAAUCUCUAAAUUCUUUUGUAAUGUUAAAAAAAUGUGCUUGCUCCUAUUCUUUUGAAAGGGUUGGGUUGUGGGAGAAGGGAUGCUUAUUCAUGGAAUAAUCAAAAGGGAACCUGGGGUAAUGACUCUUGACAUUCAAUGGACGAGGUACAUAGUGCCCUACCAACUUUAAGGAUGUGAAAACUAAGACAAAAACAAACAACUUUGUGAAAUUUAUACAGCAGGUAUAGAGCAUGAAUUUAGGUGAGACAGAACCAUAGUCCCCCUGUUAAUCCACACUAUCUUUCCAGGUUCUCAUGUAGAGCGUAUGCAGUGAAAUCCACAAGAGAGUGUGUCUGUUCAUCUAUAUUGGUCUCUUGAAAAUAUCACUCAUUUGAACUGCACUUGCAAUAGACAUAGGAACAUCUACAUCUAUGCCUUAGAUCAUCAGUCGUGGAAGGAGGUGCUGUGUGUGCUAUAGGACAUUUCACUGUUAUUAUGCUAGGAAGAACACUCUGGUUUUUUUGUUUUUAAAAUAAAUAAUAAAAGCCUAACAUAAAUUUUAUUCACUGGAGAGCUUUUCAUUUUAUGGGAACAUUUACAUAAAUCUGCUGCUUCCAUCAUGGACCUGUGUAAGUAGUUUAUUAGAGUUCUGGACCAACUAACUAUUUCUAUGAGGAAUGUUUUGUACUUGCAGAGAGUUAUUUUCAAGUGACACUGUGGAAAAUCAUGCAUAAAACUAAGUAAGUUGCUUCAACUGAUUGCUAUGUCAAGUGACAUAAUUUACUAAUGGGAAAAUUUUGGAUGUGUGAGGUGACAGUUUCAUCAUUGGAAACUUCAGUGUUUGUCUAGAUAUUCACUUGAAAGCUUCCAAUUCUUAUUGAAGGACAAUCUCAUAGUACAUAUCAAAUCUUCAAAAAUUUAUAUUGAGAGGCUCUUUUAGAUUUGUGUUUAUUUUAUUGCCUGGCCUGUGUGGUUCUGGGGGUGCCAAGGCAUGUCUGAUUGUUGAUCUGAAAAUAAUAGUACAGACUUAACAAAACUAUGGAAAUAUGUGCAGCUCUUAGCUGAUUUGUAAAAUUUUUUUGUACAGUUCUUUAAUAUAAAGUGAGUAAAUUAAUUUAUGAAAAACUCUUGCUACCUGUACUUCUCAGGCUUAAUAAGUGAUUGACAAUUUAUUAAUUUUUAAAUAAUUUUGUAAUUAUAUUUAAGUACAGAAAAACCAGCACUGUACAUUUAAGUUAAUUUAGUGGGAGUUCUUUGACCUUUGUCUUUUCUAGCUUGGCAGUACAACCACAGAUUUGCCUCCUGAGUGGCUGUGGAUCUCAUCAUAUCUGUCACUAUAAAGCCUGGCUGUUUGCUCUUCAGCCUGAAGUAGAGGAACCAUUGGGUGAAACUGUGAGAUUUUUGGGGGGCUGGAUGCCCUGCACAGUGCCUAAGUUUUAAGCCUUUUCUUAAACAAAGGAUUCACUACAUUUUUGGUCUCCUGUUCCUUCAUGGUAGAGGGGACAGGACCACCUUCUUUCCGUUGAGCAUCUUACUCUACAGAAAGAGAGCUAUUAUUAUUUAUACUACUUUCAUUGAUCACAGAAUUCCAAUUCAAUCUGUGUCUUUACUGUUAAAGAGAGAGGUGGGAUUAGGUUACUUCUGAAAUAGAAAACAAAACAAAACAAAACAAACAAACAAACACACAAAAAACCGUGAGUUCUCCAGUGGCCUAGAAGGGUCUCUACAUCAGGCUG